UGGGAAUUUUGGACAAUGGGCGCAAGCCUGAUCCAGCAAUGCCGCGUGCAGGAUGAAGGCCUUCGGGUUGUAAACUGCUUUUGUACGGAACGAAAAGCCUCUCUCUAAUACAGGGGGGUGAUGACGGUACCGUAAGAAUAAGCACCGGCUAACUACGUGCCAGCAGCCGCGGUAAUACGUAGGGUGCAAGCGUUAAUCGGAAUUACUGGGCGUAAAGCGUGCGCAGGCGGUUUUGUAAGACAGUGGUGAAAUCCCCGGGCUCAACCUGGGAACUGCCAUUGUGACUGCAAGGCUGGAGUGCGGCAGAGGGGGAUGGAAUUCCGCGUGUAGCAGUGAAAUGCGUAGAUAUGCGGAGGAACACCGAUGGCGAAGGCAAUCCCCUGGGCCUGCACUGACGCUCAUGCACGAAAGCGUGGGGAGCAAAACAGGAUUAGAUA
rnacentral:rRNA from 1 species